rnacentral:lncRNA from 1 species
ACUGAAUAAAUAAAAACUUUAUUUGAUUUUUACCCAUAAAUGGUAUCUUUGGUUUGAUCACUUAAAAAAAAUACAACUUCAUGUAACCAAAAUGCUUGAAGGAUUUGGUUAACUAAGGAUUUUGUUAAUAUUUUUAUCUAAAAAUAUGAAAACCUGACCUGUAAAAAUUAGUUUUGUAGUAGCCAUGUUUGAGAUAUUUACAGAUUUCCAUGAAAGUUGACUCCUCAAAUGAGGAGAUCUCAUACAACACCCAGAUCAGAUACUAAGGAGAAAAAGGCUUUUGCAACCCCAAGUUAGGACUUUACAUAAGAAAUUCCAGUGGUGUUUACCCACUUUGAAAAUUUUACUGAGUAUUUCUC